CCUACGGGUGGCAGCAGUGGGGAAUAUUGCACAAUGGGGGAAACCCUGAUGCAGCGACGCCGCGUGAGUGAAGAAGUCCUUCGUUACGUAAGGCUCUAUCAGCAGGGAAGAAACACUGACCUUACGUUCAGCCGUCUGUACCUGCGUCAGAAGCCCCUGCUAACUCCGUGCCAGCAGCCGCGGUAAUACGUAGGGGGCACGCGUUAUCCGGGUGUACUGGGGGUAAAGGGGGCGUAGACGGUGCGCCAAGUCUGGAGUGAAAUGCCGCGGCUUAACUGCGGAACUGCUUUGGAAACUGGCGAACGAGAGUGCGGGAGGGGCAAGCGGAAUUCGCGGUGUAGCGGUGAAAUGCGUAGAUAUCAGGAGGAACCCCGGUGGCGAAGGCGGCUUACUGGACCGUAACUGACGUUGAGGCUCGAAAGCGUGGGGAGCAAACAGGAUUAGAUACCCUAGUAGUC
rnacentral:rRNA from 1 species